CGGACGGGUGAGUAACACGUGGAUAACCUACCUAUAAGACUGGGAUAACUUCGGGAAACCGGAGCUAAUGCCGGAUAAUAUAUUGAACCGCAUGGUUCAAUAGUGAAAGACGGUUUUGCUGUCACUUAUAGAUGGAUCCGCGCCGCAUUAGCUAGUUGGUAAGGUAACGGCUUACCAAGGCAACGAUGCGUAGCCGACCUGAGAGGGUGAUCGGCCACACUGGAACUGAGACACGGUCCAGACUCCUACGGGAGGCAGCAGCC
rnacentral:rRNA from 1 species